GAUGAACGCUAGCGGCAGGCCUAACACAUGCAAGUCGAGGGAGAGGUUAUCUUCGGGUAACCAAAACCGGCGCACGGGUGCGUAACGCGUAUACAAUCUGCCUUUCACAUAGGGAUAGCCCGAAGAAAUUUGGAUUAAUACCUAGUGGUAUAUAAGAGCGGCAUCGUUUUUAUAUUAAAGCUACGGUGGUGAAAGAUGAGUAUGCGUUCUAUUAGCUAGUUGGAGAGGUAACGGCUCCCCAAGGCGACGAUAGAUAGGGGUUCUGAGAGGGAUGUCCCCCACACUGGUACUGAGAUACGGACCAGACUCCCACGGGAGGCAGCAGUGAGGAAUAUUGGACAAUGGUCGGAAGACUGAUCCAGCCAUGCCGCGUGCAGGAUGAAGGGUCCUAUGGAUUGUAAACUGCUUUUGUAAGGGAAGAAUAAAGAGUACGUGUACUUUUGAUGACGGACCUUACGAAUAAGCAUCGGCUAACUCCGUGCCAGCAGCCCGCGAUAAUACGGAGGAUGCGAGCCGUUAUCCGGAAUCAUUGGGUUUAAAGGGUCCGUAGCCUGCUGAUGAGGUCUGAGUUGAAUGGCUGAAGCUCACUAAGCCACUGCGCUUGGAACUGUAGUCUUGGAUAUCUUG
rnacentral:rRNA from 1 species